AUGUAAAUGUGCAGCAGUUCAGGACCCAGGAAGGGGGAGGGAAUUCUUCUCAGUCUGCAAUCGGCUCCUACACACACACACAAUUCCUGCUGCACAGGCUCAAGUCAGUACUGAUGUUCCGAUUCUUUUUACAUGCUGUCACAUUACAUCAGUCUUCUUUAUCUCUAUUUGUAUAAUGGAAAGGUCCCAGAGGCCCAUUUAUUUUAGGAAGAGGGCAGCCCAACGGGCAAUUGCCCGAUCUCACAGAUGGCCAGUCCGGGCCUGGUGGCGGGUCUAUGUCUGUACUGUGGUAGACAAUCUCACUUUGCCAAUACCUGUCCUGUGAGGCCUAAGGGUUCUUUUCCCCAAGAUUCGGCUGGCCACAAAGACGGUUUUCAGCUCUGCUUUCAUCGACUCUGGGGCUGCCAGGAAUUUUAUGGAAGCUCUCUUUGCCAAGUAUAUGGAUGUUCCCCUAUAUCCAUUUUGAUUUUCAUUAAUCUGCAAAAUCAUGUGAAUUACAGAUAAUCUGGUCCAAGAGAUGGUCGUUUUAGGACUCCUACACACAGGCCAUUUUAAAUGUGUUUUUAAACAUAAAUGCAUAAAAACGGAUACAUUGCAUUUCUAUGUGUUUUUUAUUUAAACAUUUUUUAAAAAGCAGCUAAAUUGGUUGGUUUCUGGAUGUGCGUCAAGCACAAGAAAAUGCAUCUGAAAAAAUUAAUUAUACAAGAACAUUUGCCAAGAGCAACUAGUCAGGAAUUAACUUUGAACAGUUUACUACAAGUUAGAAAAUGAAAGCUAAAAAUGGUCACUUAGGCAACUACAGUGAUGUAACAACUAAAUUAAUAAAUAACCAAUGGUUUUUGAGUGUAAAUAUGUUUUUUUUCUGGAUGAGAGCUUCCUGCACCUGUUAAUGAAAUUAUUAGGGGAAUAAAAGAAAGUUCCUGAAUGGUAUAUAUACAAUACUUUCAGCCAAUAACAAUUUUAUGUUUUAUUUUGCUAUUUCCCAAUACUGCCCAGGCAAGAAACUAGAUAGUUAGGGGCUUAUUUAUCUUGCUGUGUAGAAAGUAGAGUGAAGCAUUGCUGGUAAUGUUGCUCAUAGCAACCAAUCAACAAUUACAUUUCAA